rnacentral:pre_miRNA from 1 species
UUGAGGAAUUUGAAGAGUUCAACUUAUAGACUUGAAGAUUUUGAAGACCUAAACUUGCAGACUUGAAGAAUUUGAAGACUUCAACU